UAAGGAUGAAGACUGACUAGUUAAAAGGUGCGGGUGGUCCUUACUCGCUGCAUCUUCAGGGUAUUACAGUUCCUCAAGUUCUCAUGAGUUUGACUCAGAACUUCUGUUUUUGUCUUGUUGUUGGUAAAUGUUCAUUUGCAACAAGUUUUUGAAGGUGGUGACUGGAAAACAAAAUCACAUGGUUAUUCAUUCCUCAUUGAACUUAGAGUCGGAUAAUUGUCUAACAAUUUAACACCAACCCACUCUUUCUGUGUCUUGUUUUGAUUUUGGUUUUUUUAAAAGCUGAACUCACAGCGAUCUCCCUGCGUCAACCUCCCCAAAACUGGGAUUAGAGGGAAUGCUACCAUUCCCAGAACAACAAGCCAUUUUAGCUCAACGAUUUGAGUGUUCCUAGUCAGGACAGGCCUCUAGAGAACAGAGAACCUUCAUUUAUAGCCUGAUCUAUUUACUAGAAAUCUUGUUAGUGAGAUAAGUAGUGGCUGCCCAGAUCAUUAAGGUAAACUGCUGAGUGUUAAAGGAGGUCGUGCUCUUGGUGGUGCGUAAAGAGCACAUGGAAGACACAGUUGUACCUGAGCUGAGUAUGAGUCACCUGAGUCAGUGCUGUUCAAACAUGGCCAGAUCUCAGAGUGGCUUAAAAGUACUGUGGAUGGGUCCGUAUCCUGAUCCUGGUGUCAGAACUGGGAUAUGUUCCGACCAUAAGGAUUUAAAAAUGCCCUGGUUUCAGAAUGCUACCAAAGGUUGAGAGCAGUUGUGUCGAAUUUGACCUAGAAGUUUCUCACCUACAAAGUAGGAAGUUCUUGCCCCACUCAUUGCCUCACGGGGAUGCAGAGGGCGCAAGAGAACACUGGGAGUGGUGGCGGUAUGGAUGAACAAUGGUGCAGAAGUGUAGCAUCUGUCACAUUCCAGCUGCAGCCACCGUGACCAGGGAAACGUGUCGUUGAAUUUGUUGUUGCUGUAGGAAUCUCUUACGUCAUGCAUAAGGAAGCAUGCAGGGGUGGAACAAAAUGUUAAUUAAUAUUACUCUUAUUCACUAUGGCCUUCUGUCCUACUUGAGACAGGCGGUUAUAUUACCUAAGUUUUCAUAGGAAAGAAGAAAUAUUAAGGCUUAAUUCUGUAAUGUUCAUUGGCUCAUAAUUCAUUAAAAACUUCAU
rnacentral:lncRNA from 1 species